rfam:Candidatus Curtissbacteria bacterium RIFCSPLOWO2_02_FTLL_40_13b rifcsplowo2_02_scaffold_16186, whole genome shotgun sequence.
GCUCUCGUAGUUAAGUGGUAUAACAGUACCUUGGUAAGGUACAAUCCCGAGUUCGAUUCUCGGCGAGAGCU